rnacentral:rRNA from 1 species
AGCGAACGCUGGCGGCAGGCCUAACACAUGCAAGUCGAACGAAGUCUUCGGACUUAGUGGCGGACGGGUGAGCAACACGUGGGAACGUGCCUUUAGGUUCGGAAUAACUCAGGGAAACUUGUGCUAAUACCGAAUGUGCCCUUCGGGGGAAAGAUUUAUCGCCUCUAGAGCGGCCCGCGUCUGAUUAGCUAGUUGGUGAGGUAAAGGCUCACCAAGGCUACGAUCAGUAGCUGGUCUGAGAGGAUGACCAGCCACAUUGGGACUGAGACACGGCCCAAACUCCUACGGGAGGCAGCAGUGGGGAAUCUUGCGCAAUGGGCGAAAGCCUGACGCAGCCAUGCCGCGUGGAUGAUGAAGGUCUUAGGAUUGUAAAAUCCUUUCACCGGUGAAGAUAAUGACUGUAGCCGGAGAAGAAGCCCCGGCUAACUUCGUGCCAGCCGCCGCAGUAACAC